rnacentral:rRNA from 1 species
UUGAAAGGGAAACGAUUGAAGUCAGUCGUACCUGUGGGUAAUCAGCCUUUUGGGUGUGAUUAUGUGGAGUGUGAAGAGUUAAACGCCUUUAUGCCUGCAUAUUCGUGCACUUUGGGUGUAUUUACCCGUGUGGUAAGUUAACAUCAAUUUCGGUGGUCAUAAAAUGGCUGGAGGAAUGUAGCUUCGAUCUUGUAUUGAAGUGUUAUAGCCUUCGGUAGAUGUGAUGAUCGGGAUUGAGGAUUGCAACGGAUACCCUUCGGGGCUACCUGUCUGAUCUCUGAUCGUUGCUCUGGUGCCGAAAGCUUGCUUACGGUUAUCAAAGUCGAUGGUCAAUAGGUUAGAACGGGUUAAAUUCGUUAAGGAUGUUGACGUA